rnacentral:rRNA from 1 species
CAAAGAUUAAGCCAUGCAUGUCUAAGUCCAAGCUGUGUUUACACGGCGAGACCGCGGACGGCUCAUUAAAUCAGUCGUGGUCUACAUGGGCCAGUGCAAAUCCUACUUGGAUAACUGUGGUAAUUCCAGAGCUAAUACAUGCAACUGAUAUCCCGAAGGCUGGUGCUUGCUUGUCUUGCACUUUGCUCUGACGGAUGCUUUUAUUAGACCAAGCCGCUGAGGACUUGAUUGCUCACGCUUUCUUGUUCGACUCGUGUGAUGGUGACUCUGGAUAACCAAUUCUGACAAGCGAACGUACUCCUCUUUGAGCGAGACGGCGCUGCCACUUUCGAGUGUCUGCCUUAUCAGCUAUCAACCGUUCGUUAUGCGCGACCGAUGGCUUUGACGGGUAACGGGGAAUCAGGGUUCGAUUCCGGAGAGGCAGCCUGAGAGACGGCUACCACGUCC